rnacentral:rRNA from 1 species
AAGGAUCAUUGUCAAAACCUGCUCAGCAAAACAACCCGCAAACAAGUGAAAACAAACCCAGACGGACAGAGGAGGGGCUCGUUCCCCUGAUCGCUCGUCCGCCAGACCACGGCCCCCUCGGCAUCCGCAGCGAUGCUGCAGGCAGACGGGGCAGACCAUCGCGUCUGCGCAAAACCUAAAAUCCGGUGCGAUACACGCCAAGGAAAAUAUAAGUAGAAAGAGAGGAUUGUCCCCGUGCGCGGGGGUGUUCCUCGGAAUCCGAUACUCGAACGACUCUCGGCAACGAAUAUCUCGACUCUUGCAUCGAUAAAGAACAUAGCGAAAUGCGAUACUUGGUAUGAAUUUUAGAAUCACGUGAACCAUCGAGUCUUUGAACGAAAGUUGCGCCCGAGGCCAUUAGGUCGAGGGCACGUCUGCAUGGGCGUCAACACAGUGUCGCACCUCGCCAACCAAAAUGUCGGGGAGCGGCGUUGCGGGCACGAUCGGCACAAAUGUUGGUCACCGGCGGCGAUCGUCAUGGUCAGCAGUGGUUGUACCUCUCAUCCUCCAAAGACACAAAAGACAUGUCGACCCCAUCGUAUGUCGGGACAUACCGACCCCUACGGAGUCGCCCCUGGCGGCACUCCAACCUGCGACCCCAGGUCAGGCGGGAUCACCCGCUGAGUUUAA